rnacentral:rRNA from 1 species
GACGAACGCUGGCGGCGUGCUUAACACAUGCAAGUCGAACGGUAAGGCCCUUCGGGGUACACGAGUGGCGAACGGGUGAGUAACACGUGGGUGAUCUGCCCUGCACUUCGGGAUAAGCCUGGGAAACUGGGUCUAAUACCGGAUAGGACCACUGCCUGCAUGGGUGGUGGUGGAAAGCUUUUGCGGUGUGGGAUGGGCCCGCGGCCUAUCAGCUUGUUGGUGGGGUGUUGGCCUACCAAGGCGACGACGGGUAGCCGGCCUGAGAGGGUGACCGGCCACACUGGGACUGAGAUACGGCCCAGACUCCUACGGGAGGCAGCAGGGGGGAAUAUUGCACAAUGGGCGCAAGCCUGAUGCAGCGACGCCGCGUGAGGGAUGACGGCCUUCGGGUUGUAAACCUCUUUCAGCACCGACGAAGCGCAAGUGACGGUAGGUGCAGAAGAAGGACCGGCCAACUACGUGCCAGCCGCCGCGGUAA